rnacentral:rRNA from 1 species
CUUUCUUGAUUCUAUGGUUGGUGGUGCAUGCCCGUUCUUAGUGGUGGAGUGAUCUGUCUGGUUAAUUCCGUUAACGAGCAAGACCUGGGCGUGCUAGCUAGGCGCCAGUACCGUUUUUUGGUACUGAGGCUUGCCUUCCUAGACGGACUGUGGGCGUCUAGUCCACGNAAGCUCCAGGCAAUAACAGGUCUGAGAUGCCCUUAGAUGUUCUGGGCCGCACGCGUGCUACACUGAGCGGGUCAACGGGUGAGGAUGUGCGAGAGCGCUUCCUAAUCUCUAAAUCCGCUCGUGCUGGGGAUCGAGGCUUGCAAUUUUCCCUCUUGAACGAGGAAUACCUUGUAAGCGUGGGUCAUCAUCCCGCGCUGAAUACGUCCCUGCCCUUUGUACACACCGCCCGUCGCUCCUACCGAUUGAGUGGUCCGGUGAGGCCUUGGGAGGGAUGGAUGGAUUGUGUUUCACAAACUAUCUGGCCCAAACUUGGUCAAACCUUAUCACUUAGAGGAAGGAGAAGUCGUAACAAGGUUUCCGUAGGUGAACCUGCGGAAGGAUCAUUCGUAGUGGGAUGACAGGCUGAAAGCGGCGAUUCCGCCGUUUUUAGCCAGUCUUUCUAUCAUGUUUCGCGCACAACUUUUUAACAUAUCUUUUUUUUAUCAAACCAAACCCAUACUAUUAACAAUAAAAACCAAAAACAAACAAAUUGAAAACUCGUGACGGUGGAUGUCUAGGCUCCAGCAACGAUGAAGAACGCAGCAAAAUGCGAUACGUAGUGCGAAUUGCAGAAUCCGUGAAUCAUCGAAUCUUUGAACGCAAGUUGCGCUCGCGGGCAAUCCUGCGAGCAUGUCUGUUUGAGUGUCCGCACAAAUGAGACUUUUGCUUCUUUCCAACAGUGGAAGGAGCUGCUGAUGGGUGUUUCUGUCCAUGUGAUUAAAAACCGCGUGGUGCAGAAGUUUUCCGUGCAACCCGAGAGGGGGAAGCGGUCACCUGAAGAAUAGCUUUGUAUGGGAUGUUGUUCUUGUCGAUUUUUUUGCAAGUUUUUGCUUGGCGCACUUCUUUGUUUAGGGGUGUUGUGCAGAGCGGUUGUGGAAGGUGCAACCGCAAGAUCGACUAGACAAUGCUUUUCCCGCAGGAGUAGAAAUACACCACUGAAGGAAAUGGCAGAGAAUGGUUGAUUUCGGGCAAAAUGCCCUCUGUAUGGCCAUGUGUUGGCUUGUUGAAAGGAAAAGACGGGUCUUCA